GCGAGGGCGGAGCAGUGCACAGAGCAACCCGACGCGCAAGGUCCGCAGCGCCUUCCCGACCUGUGCAGCGGGACGUGGGCUGCUGCUGCCGCCACUGAGCGUGCUUGGCUAGGGGGACCAUGGCUGUGAGGAAGGCAGCGCGACCGCGCUCUGCCGCAGGAAAGCUAGAAACAUCUCUCCGCGCAUUCUGAAUGAGCUAAGGGAGUCGAAAUCUGAAAACAAAGCUUCAUUUCAACAUGCCCAGACUUCGCGAGGAGGCCACAGAUUACAAGCUGCCUCUCCAGUUUCCUACAGCAGUCUUUUGGAAGAAGCAAAAGAAGAAAGCUCUUGGCUUCCAGAAUGGCUAGUAAAAGAAUUACUGAAAGAGCAUCAGAAGAGUCACUCAGGAGGACUCAUGGAGAAUAUAUUGGAGCAUGAAAGUUUUCAGCAUCACACUGACUCUGCCAAGAGUCUGAGGAAAGAAAAGAUUGAACAACAAGUGACCCUUGAACAACUUCAGAAACUAAACACAGCAUUUCAGGAGUUAGAAAAGAAUGGUUGUAAAUCACUGGAUGUGGAGAAAUUCAAGCAGGUAGUGAAAAAAUGUAUGAUGCCCCAUAGAACAGUUAAGUGAACAUUUCUCUUUAAACAGUUUUAUAAUUGAAAAUCUUUUAUGUUGAAGCCUAACUCAAUUCUGUGGGCAUAAUAUUGAAACUUUGAAUAUAUUUGAUCUGUGAGCUAUUGGAUUGACUGACUUCUUCCUGCAUACUCUAGAAUGUUAUACAUCUGUAAUAAAAGUUCAGCAUGUGUUUUAAGUUCCCUUUUUGGGCCUGACACUGGAAGUUCUUCUGAGUAAACACUAAAGAAUUGGACCCUCUAGGACAGUGUUUCUUAAACUUUUUAAGACCAAGGAAUGCCAAACAAUUUUUUUUAUGG